rnacentral:rRNA from 1 species
ACAUGCAAGUCGAGCGAAGUUUUUCUGGUGCUUGCACUAGAAAAACUUAGCGGCGAACGGGUGAGUAACACGUAAAGAACCUGCCUCAUAGACGGGGACAACUAUUGGAAACGAUAGCUAAUACCGGAUAACAGCAUAAAUCGCAUGAUAUAUGUUUAAAAGUUGGUUUCGGCUAACACUAUGAGAUGGCUUUGCGGUGCAUUAGCUAGUUGGUGGGGUAAAGGCCUACCAAGGCGGCGAUGCAUAGCCGACCUGAGAGGGUGAUCGGCCACACUGGGACUGAGACACGGCCCAGACUCCUACGGGAGGCAGCAGUAGGGAAUCUUCCGCAAUGGGCGAAAGCCUGACGGAGCAACGCCGCGUGAGUGAAGAAGGAUUUCGGUUCGUAAAGCUCUGUUGUUAGGGAAGAAUGAUUGUAUAGUAACUAUAUACAGUAGAGACGGUACCUAACCAGAAAGCCACGGCUAACUACGUGCCAGCAGCCGCGGU